rnacentral:rRNA from 1 species
GAUGAACGCUGGCGGCGUGCCUAAUACAUGCAAGUCGAGCGAACAGAUGAGGAGCUUGCUCCUCUGACGUUAGCGGCGGACGGGUGAGUAACACGUGGAUAACCUACCUAUAAGACUGGGAUAACUUCGGGAAACCGGGGCUAAUACCGGAUAAUAUAUUGAACCGCAUGGUUCAAUAGUGAAAGACGGUUUUGCUGUCACUUAUAGAUGGAUCCGCGCCGCAUUAGCUAGUUGGUAAGGUAACGGCUUACCAAGGCAACGAUGCGUAGCCGACCUGAGAGGGUGAUCGGCCACACUGGAACUGAGACACGGUCCAGACUCCUACGGGAGGCAGCAGUAGGGAAUCUUCCGCAAUGGGCGAAAGCCUGGCGGAGCAACGCCGCGUGAGUGAUGAAGGUCUUCGGAUCGUAAAACUCUGUUAUUAGGGAAGAACAAAUGUGUAAGUAACUAUGCACGUCUUGACGGUACCUAAUCAGAAAGCCACGGCUAACUACGUG